rnacentral:rRNA from 1 species
ACGCUCGACACCUACGGGAGGUAGCAGUGGGGGAUAUUGCACAAUGGGGGAAACCCUGAUGCAGCAACGCCGCGUGAAGGAAGACGGUUUUCGGAUUGUAAACUUCUGUUCUUAGUGACGAUAAUGACGGUAGCUAAGGAGAAAGCUCCGGCUAACUACGUGCCAGCAGCCGACGGUAAUCUGAGGCGGGCUGGACAAGGC